rnacentral:lncRNA from 1 species
UGUGGAUUUUCUAUAAAAUUUCCAUAUGUUUAGCAAUGAGUCAACACAAAUGUACAUAAUCCUCAAAAGCAGAAAAUAUUACAGACUAAGGUAAAUAGAUAUAAGAAGAUGUGAUAUGAGUGCCAAUGAAACAACUCUCCAUCCAUAUAACAAUAUAUAAGAGUAAACCUUUAAAGGUCAAGAUACGGCCUUCAACACGGAGCCUUAGCUCACCCCGAACAGCAAGCUAUAAAGGGCCCCCCCAAAAAACCUAGUGUAAAACUUUUCAAACGGGAAAACCAACGGUCUUAUCGAUAUAAAAACGAGAAACGAGAAACACUUUGGAACCACAUAAGCAGACGACAACCACUGAGCAUCGGAUUCCUGUCUUAGAACAUGUGCAAACAAUU